GACUGAGAGCCUGCAACGCACAUGUGCCCCUGCAGGGUGGCAUAGACGGCGAGCCCAGGGAGGCCACUGACAUGCAUUCAAGAGAAAAGAAAAGAAGCCAGGCUUUGGUCAGUUGUGAAUAUACCAUCUCCUGACUCCCAAGCAUUGGUUCAUCAUCCAGCUGGCAAUUGUUGAGCCUCAGCCAAUGGCAUAAGUGCUUCAUGGUGGAGUGAGAAUGGCUUGCCCUGGAAGGGUCAUGUUUUAGAAGGAGUGAUCUUCAUUGUGAAGUCUAAACUGUUCUGGAAAUAUAAGCUUUGAAACCCAGUACUGAAUUCUCACAGGAAGUCUCAGACGAAGACACUGCUAACUCCACUUUCAGAGAGAAACACUGAGGCUCAGAGCUAAACUAACUCGCCUCAGAGCCCACAUCCUGGACUUGAGCCUCAGGGUGUUGCAUGCCAAAGCCUGUCCUCUUCACCCCAGCUUCCUGGGCAUUGGAGCGGAUCCAUAGUGUUAGAUAUGCAGUGGGAAUGGCCCCCAUUCCAAGCCACUUCCUGACCUGAUGGCAGCACCCUGCUAGUCCUCACAUGGAGCCCUGGAGAAGCCGGGUUCCUUAACCCAGAUUUGAAUCAAUAGCCUCACACCUGGUAUGCACAUCCAGGCCAAGUGUGGCUGAAUGGGGAGCAUCUGUUCUGGAGACGGCCACCCUCAUGGGCUCCUCUGCUUCCUGUCCCUUCGGGCACUGAUUUAUGGCACACAGCAGGGAAGGGCCUGAGCUUGAGCCCUGACCAUCGUUAUCAUCACCAUCUUCAUUCCAGUGCAGUGAAGAACAUUCUGAAGGUAGAGAUGAAGGUCUUCUUUCUGAAUGAAGCUCCUUGCAUGAUUCAGGGAUCUUCCUCUUGAAGGCACCAAUCAUUUUGACUUUAAUGCAUGCACUCUGACUUACUUGUGGUGAUCUCUCCUGGAAAUACAUGGAAAAAUGAAAAAUAGGCUAACUGGGGAGAUUUCUUAAAUACCAGUUUGUAUGGCUGUGUUAACCUGAAUGAUUAAAUAUAGGAUUGUUUUUUAAGUUAC
rnacentral:lncRNA from 1 species